rnacentral:rRNA from 1 species
GAUGAACGCUAGCGGCAGGCUUAAUACAUGCAAGUCGAGGGGCAGCAGGUUUGUAGCAAUACAGAUGCUGGCGACCGGCAAACGGGUGCGGAACACGUACACAACCUUCCUUUAAGUGGGGAAUAGCCCAGAGAAAUUUGGAUUAAUACCCCGUAACAUUAUGAUGUGGCAUCACAUUAUAAUUAUAGCUCCGGCGCUUAAUGAUGGGUGUGCGGCUGANAGGUAGUUGGCGGGGUAACGGCCCACCAAGCCUUCGAUCAGUAACUGGUGUGAGAGCACGACCAGUCACACGGGCACUGAGACACGGGCCCGACUCCUACGGGAGGCAGCAGUAAGGAUAUUGGGCAAUGGAGCAACUCUGACCCAGCCAUGCCGCGUGGAGGAU